rnacentral:tRNA from 1 species
AAUAAAGUGCCUGAAAAAGGAUUAUUCUGAUAGAAUAAAUUAUGUAAAAUUUUACCUUUAUUA